GAGCGUUCUGUCUGCUCCAGCCCAGGGAGGCACGGCCUCUGGGGGUGUGCCCUUUCCUCACAGAUCUCAUGAUCUUACUGGACAGAGACGCACACGGACAGACACUGUGCCGGGAGACUGGAGCCAGAGCUGUCCUGGAAGAGCGGGGGUGACCUCCCAGAGAGGGGACACUUUGAGAAAUGACAAGGAAUUUUCCAGGCUAAGAAGGAGCCAGCUUCUAGGUGCAAAAGGAGAAUGGUCAUGCCAUCUUAUCUCCCAUCCUCCCAACACCCACUCAAAUCACAUGGGAGAGGUUCCUUCAUCGAAAUAGGAGGGGACUUCAGAAAGUCUGUGGAAAAAUGGAAUUAAAAGUGCUCUGUGUGUAAAACCACAAGGUUGAAGAGAAAGGCAAGGAGAGCAAGAGGAGCAACAGGAUUUCAAAGUUGGGAAGCACGUGGAAAAGCGGAAACCAACUCAGUCAAGCCCAGGCAGCUGAACUCCAAGCUGGCGACUUCCAGGAAACUUUUCCCCGGGGAUCCAGCCAGCCCGAGAGGAAAAGAACUACAGAGACCUACUCGGCAGUCCCAACAGCGGUGACCAGGCCACCCACAGGGAGACCCCCAUCUCCAGGCUCUCCUACCUGCUCAGAAUGUCUCGUCAGUUUUGUGGUGCCUCACUCACGAUCACUACCUGCCGGCCAGAUUCUAACACAGCUGAGGGAAGCCUGUCAUGCUAAUUAAAGACCAAACAAAACAGAAAGACAGCAAGCUGGAAGAAACACAGAACGACGCGUGGAGGAGGAAACUUUUAGAAUAAAACUACCACCAACAGUCUCUGAGAGCGAAGGGAAGAAGCUGCACUCAUGAGAAGAGCAAAGACUAGGAGAGAGGGACAGAAGCAGCUCCUGGGAAAUUAAACCUCAAUGGAAGAGCUGAAAGACAAAACUGAGGAAGUCUCCCAGAGUGUAGAGCAAAAAGACAAAUAGACGAAAGGACGAGAAAACAAGGGAACAAGCCCAGGAGAUCAGAAAUCCAGCAAGAGCAGAGCAAACAGGAGGAAGAAGUCAAUGUCAGAGCAGAGUAUCGAGUUUCCCAGGACCAGCCGCUCUCGGUUUCCAACUGAAGGCAUCAGAGCGUGCCCUGGGACGGGGAGACCCACAUCAAAACACACGCUAUGAAACAUUAGGACACUCACAAGCUUCCAGGGAGAAAGGCCAGUCACGUGCAAAGAAUGAGGAUACAAGUGUGUUACAGCUCCCGACAGCAGCAUGGGAAGCAAGAAGAAGGUGGUAGAGCAAUGUCUUUUAAAAUUCUGAAUGGAGGAGCCGGCAUUGUGGCUUAGCAGGUAAAGCACUGCCUGCGACAUCGGCAUCCCGUGUGAGCACCAGUCAAGUCCUGGUUGCUCCACUUCUGAUCCCGUUCCCUGAUAAUGCACCUGGGAAAGCAGCAGAAGGUGGCUGAAGCGCUUGGGCCCCUGCACCCACAUGGGAGACCUGGAAGAAGGACCUGGCUCGUGGCUUUGGUCUGGCCCAGCCCUGGCCAUUGCCGCUAUUUGGGGAAUGAACCAGUGGAUGGAAGCACUCUCUCUCUUCCUCUCCCUCUCCUUCUCCCUCUCUCUCUGCUUCUCCCUUUCUCUCUGUAACUCUGCCUUUCAAAUAAAUUAAUUAAUUAAAAAAAUAAAA